rnacentral:rRNA from 1 species
AUUGAACGCUGGCGGAAUGCUUUACACAUGCAAGUCGAACGGCAGCACGGACUUCGGUCUGGUGGCGAGUGGCGAACGGGUGAGUAAUGUAUCGGAACGUGCCCAGUCGUGGGGGAUAACGUAGUGAAAAUUACGCUAAUACCGCAUACGAUCUAUGGAUGAAAGCGGGGGAUCGCAAGACCUCGCGCGAUUGGAGCGGCCGAUAUCAGAUUAGGUAGUUGGUGGGGUAAAGGCCCAUCAAGCCAACGAUCUGUAGCUGGUCUGAGAGGACGACAAGCCACACUGGAACUGAGUCACGGUCCAGAAUCCUACGGGAGGCAGCAGUGGGGAAUUUUGGACAAUGGGCGAAAGCCUGAUCCAGCCAUUCCGCGUGCAGGAUGAAGGCCCUCGGGUUGUAAACUGCCUUUGUACAGAACGAAAAGGUUUCUACUAAUACUAGGAACUCAUGACGGUACUGUAAGAAUAAGCACCGGCUAACUACGUGCCAGCCGCCGCAGUAA